GGCCAGUUAGCUCAGUCGGUUGAGCAUGGUGCUGACAGCACCAAUAUUGUGGGUUCAAUCCCCAUUCGGUCCC
rnacentral:tRNA from 1 species